rnacentral:lncRNA from 10 species
GAAGUUUCCGGUUCCGGUGUCAGCGGCGGUUGAAUUGCCAUGGCAAUGCGGUGGGCGCGCGCUUGUCGUGUUGGUCUCUUGGGAGGUAGCGGGGCUAGGCCGGGCGGGUAUCCGCCUCUCCCAGCUUAGGUGAGCGUCCCCGGGCGCCUCCGGAGCGCCGCGGCCGCAUGCAGUUCGUCGUGGCGGGGAGCCGGAGCCUGACCGGGGUUCCAGCGCUCGGGCCGUAGCCUUGGCUCCUGGACUUUCCCUGGCUCCGCCGCCACGUGGGAGCUGAGGCUCUGGGGCUUCCGCCUCCGGCGCGCGAUUAUUUCUCUAGAACAGUUUUCAUUUUUAAAAUUUGUAAAGCGCUUUUGCCUGUGUGAUUUCCUCUGGGUUUUUUUUUUUUUUCUUCCUUUUUGUAGAGACGGAAUUGGCGGCGGGGGCGGGGGGUCGAUGUCUCACUUUUUUGCCCAGGCUGGUCUCGAACUCCUGGCUUCAAGGGAUCCUCCUGCCUCGGCCUCUUAAAGUGCUGGGAUUACAGGCGUGAGCCACCGCCCCCGGCCGCCUCUGAGUUUCCAGCCUCGUUGGCCCUCCAGCCUUUUAACCUGUUGGGCCUAGGAUCAGGAAAGGUUUGUUGAAUGGGGAACUAAGAAGUGAAUUCGUUCGUUCGACAAACGUUUCCUGAGCAGCCGCUGGGUGCUAGGCGCAGUGCCAGCGCGGAAUGUCCAGGGAGACCUGGUGCCCAAAGCUUGGACCCAUCGUGAGAAAUGAGAAGCAGAUACAAAGCAGUGUGGGAGUGCAGAGGAGACAAAGCAAGCCUCAUCAGGCCCAUUGCUUGCUCUGCUCUCCCUUGUACUUACCAGUGCUUGACAAUAUACAGUUAUUUACUAGCUUGGUUAUUGACUUCCUACCCAGCACUCAGUUUUAUUCACUGCUGUAUCCUCAGUGCCUAGGACGAUGCUUGGAACGUGGUAAGUGCUCCUAUUGGCGGGAAGAAUAAAUCCGGAAGAGCAGGACCAGUGGACUUGCUACAUAAUCUGUAGUCUUGGAGCCGCACAGGGUUGGUGGUACCCUCGAGCACACCAGACUUGCAGAAAAAGCAUACUCCAGAGGAAGCUGAGGCAUGCCUGCUCGAGAGCCAGCUGUUCCAUGUGCAAUUUUCCUCUGAUAGUUUCUGGUCACUGUUGCCACGGUGAUAAUGACUGGGCUAUGUCAUUAUCUAUCCGCCAACAGUAAGAGAAGCUUUGCAGUCGAGAUAUUGUUUAGCAGAUGGAGUGUUUUCUGUUGAACACUAAGUACUGCCACAAGUUACUUUUUUUUUUUUAAACUUUGAGUAUUUUUUUACAAUGUUGCUGGAGGUGAUCUGUUUAUGCUUUGAGAGUGUUCGAAUUUAAAAUCAGAAAAUCAUGUCAGUGAGUGAGUCUUUCAAAUAAUCCUUCGGCAUGAAACCUGAGCCUAGUAAACUAUGAAAGUAAACUCGGCACAUUACCCGAAAGUCUCAAUGUCAUAUUUUCACCCCCAUCAAUAUUAUUGAUGAUUGCUCAUUUUCUAAUGUGGGACCUGAAAUUUACCAGGUGCUUAAAGAAUCUUUUUGUUUUUCAGAUUCAUUGAUUCCAGGUAAAUCAGAGGAACAAGCAACAUGAACAGAAAUAUGUAGAAAAAGCUAUUAUGCAGAAGCAUAAUUGUUGUUUCAGAAGUCCAGCAUCUGGUGCACUUAACAAUAGAGAAUAUAUUAAACUCUUUCCAAAAUAACCUGUUGUUCCUACCUGUGUUGUAAGUGUUUUGUUUGUUUUUAAGUAAAUAUUGGUGAUUUGUUGCCAAAAACC